rnacentral:lncRNA from 1 species
CGGAAGUAUUAAUGUCCAUUUCGAGAGCCGAAGUCGGAUUCAGAAGCAACAAUUUCUUUUUCUUCGACAAGCAAGCGGUUUUAAGUUAUACUGUCGAAUUCAUCACGCAAUUAAUUGCAUUUUUGACGAUAAGAAGUAAAUCUAUCAUAAAUUAGUACGUAUCCUACCGAAUAUUUCACUGGUUCAAUUGAGAGAAAUAAAUAAAAAAUUUACUUCGAUGCUCCAUCUCAACUGCAGCAAUGUUGCAGAUUUCGAAAUUAAACUUAACGUUCCUAUUUUGUUGAAUCUACAGUGACUUUACGUCAUCAUUUUCAAUUCCCAUAUUUCGAGAGAGUGGAGGCUGGAGUAGAUUUUCAACGGAUUUGAACGGAUUUUCAACGGAGUUCAAACGUUAAGUUUAUUGUAAGAAAGUUCUUUGUUAAUCGUUAUGGAUUCAUGAAAAUGCAAAGACGCAUUUUACUGUGAAAGAAGAAAUUGGGAUGUCUUGAGUUACGACAACGCAAUUUUUCCGUGCAUUUAGAGUUUUUUUUAACUUCACAUAUGACGAACAAUGCUCAGUUAUAGAAAAUAACUACUACUAGACAACUACUACUGCUACUGCUACUACCCCCGUUCCUCACCACCCGGCAGCCCCAUUGUGGGCCUGGCCGAACCCAUAAAGGGCCUGCAAAAAGACGCCCUCUUAGUGCCCACAGGGCGAAAAGAGUAAAAGAAAACUACAACUACUACUACUACAAACAAAUAAAAACAUGAGAGAAAAUUGUAUCGUCUCCUGACGCGAAGGAAUUGAAAGGAAUUGACUCCCCUUCCGUCUUAAACUACGAUGAAAUAUUGCGCAAAAAAGACAAUAGAAUCGCUGUCACAUCACUAGGAGUCCCAAUUUAGGAAUGUGGAGUACCUAACGAAUGUCAUCUCAUUGUUCUUAAUUGUUCACCAGCGGAAAAAGCUGCACAUAAACUUUGCACCAUUCGAAAACACUGCAACCGAUAGCAAUUCCCAGGAAAACCUGUGUUCGUUGCACACAGAAUAAAGAAAUUCUUUCGGAAUCGGCUAAACGUGCACAUAAAUAUGAUGAAUUGUGAUAGAUAUUCCAACAUUGUAACAAAGUCAAAGCCGAACCCAAUGUGCUUAUCGCACUUUUGUGCUCGGAAGGAAAAUGUAGAAGAUCCGUGUCAUCGUUGUGAUUUUUUAAUAUACAAGAUGUGUAAUAGAUAAAGGUUUAUACUACUACAAUUACUUUAAAACUCACUUUCUGUAAUAGGAAACAACAAUUCUACUUUUUAAUUGUUUAUUAGAGUCGGCAUCUCAUUUACCACGUUUGUACGUUUUAACACGAGUAAUAGUAAGAGAAAAUACAUAGAUAAUAGUGAUGUACAAAUAGAACGAGUAAAGGCACGUAGUACUGGGAUAUCAGUUAUCAAAUUAUACUUUAAUAGAUAUGAGAGAAUUGUUUCUUAUGUAGAGAUUAUAAGUAAAAUAAUGUAUGUAUAGGCGUUAUCGUUGUUAAAAUAUUAAGUGUUAAUAAAACAAUCGAUAUCUUGUAUGAUUAAA